CAGGGAUUGCCCCAGUAACGGCGAGUGAAGCGGCAACAGCUCAAAUUUGMMAUCUGGCUCUCGGGCCCGAGUUGUAAUUUGUAGAGGAUGCUUUUGGUGAGGUGCCUUCCGAGUUCCCUGGAACGGGACGCCAUAGAGGGUGAGAGCCCCGUCUGGUUGGACGCCGAACCUCUGUAAAGCUCCUUCGACGAGUCGAGUAGUUUGGGAAUGCUGCUCUAAAUGGGAGGUAUAUGUCUUCUAAAGCUAAAUACCGGCCAGAGACCGAUAGCGCACAAGUAGAGUGAUCGAAAGAUGAAAAGAACUUUGAAAAGAGAGUUAAACAGUACGUGAAAUUGUUGAAAGGGAAGCGCUUGUGACCAGACUUGGGCUUGGUUGAUCAUCCGGGGUUCUCCCCGGUGCACUCUUCCGGCCCAGGCCAGCAUCAGUUCGCCCUGGGGGACAAAGGCAUCGGGAACGUGGCUCUCUCCGGGGAGUGUUAUAGCCCGUUGCGUAAUACCCUGCGGCGGACUGAGGUUCGCGCAUUCGCAAGGAUGCUGGCGUAAUGGUCAUCAGUGACCCGUCUUGAAACACGGACCAAGGAGUCGUCUUCGUAUGCGAGUGUUCGGGUGUCAAACCCCUACGCGAAAUGAAAGUGAACGCAGGUGAGAGCUUCGGCGCAUCAUCGACCGAUCCUGAUGUUAUCGGAUGGAUUUGAGUAAGAGCAUACGGGGCCGGACCCGAAAGAAGGUGAACUAUGCCUGUGUAGGGUGAAGCCAGAGGAAACUCUGGUGGAGGCUCGCAGCGGUUCUGACGUGCAAAUCGAUCGUCAAACAUGGGCAUGGGGGCGAAAGACUAAU
rnacentral:rRNA from 1 species